UAGUACGAACGGUACUCACUAU
rnacentral:miRNA from 1 species